GGGGGAGGCAAGAAACGUCCUAAUGAAAUGCAGGAUUCUGCAAGGUCGCCCUCUGGGAGCCUAAGGGCAAGCGGAUCUCAGGAUCUGGCCAGCCUGAGAAAAGACAGCCAUGAGGACUCUGCACGGUUGCCUCGCCAGUAUGACGUCACAGACGUCCGCGUCGCUGACAGGCCACCUGCAGACUGGUCUCGGCUUUAAAGGAGCUGUGCCCCUGUCCCCUCGAAGUCCGGCGGGUGGCUACUGUCCACGUCUGAGAGUGUGCUGGGACUCCAGAUCUUCCUAUCUCCUCUCGGCGUGAAGGUAGCGGUGGACAGGUCAUACUACCGGAGACAGGCAGGUACCCACGGAGGAUUCCACCACAGAGCAUCCUCCACACCUACCCAGCCCCCGCGCCCACGCUCUCGCUCUGGGGCAAGGGAUUUCUUCCAGAAGGAAGCAGAACAGAGGCUUUCCUCCUCGGCUGUCUCAAGUCUUAGUAGGUAAAAAUCUGUUAGUGCCCCCCCCCGCCCCCAUCCCUUCCUCUUGUCAAGGGCUCAUCUUGGAAGGGCUGCCAACACCAAGUCCCAACUGGAUUCACGAGGUCAAGUCCCUCGAGGGAAGGGAAAGGAGCUGCUCAGCCACAGGUGCGAUGUCUCCCUUUCUCCAAACUGGGGUGGGAAGGGAUGCGGGGGGGGGGGGUAGCUGGGAAAGCCGCCCUGAAACUGGCACUGAGCUCUCUUGCCAACUGGAGUAAUAGGGUUGCAUGCGACCAAAGCCCCGCGCUGCCGCCGGGUCUCCAGUGCCUUUCGCCCAGACUUUAGGUUUAACCGACCUGUUGCCUGCGGGAAAAGCGUCCCACAAGAUGUGAGCGCCGGGAGUCCGCGCUGAAAUCAGCCGCGAUCCUGCUGCCCUGGUGCACUGGGGAAGUUGCACUUUGAGUCUUGGCAGCUGCCAAGGACAGACGGAGACAACGGCCCUCACACAGGAGCGGAGCAGACGGAUCACUUCCUAGGAAGGGUAUGGGCAGGGAAAGGUGGGGACAGGGGAGCCCGCUGUCCUCCUCAUCUUGGACACACAUUCCGACGACAGCUUGCAGGAGCCUGAACUGCAGGCUUUUAUAAUUUGUGAAGAAGAUAUAGAGAAACGAGCUACCCAGCUGCUUCCCGUGAGAAAUAAGAUGUCCCUAUGGUUAAAGGAAGUGUGUUCGGGAAGGGCAAACACCUCCAGAAACUACCAGACUCGGCCGAGGAUACCUCAGAGGAACUUCUCCAGAAACAAGGACAUUGGCUCUAGCGUGGGACGGGGGACAGGAUGCCUGUCCUCAGGGAGUGGUGGGCUGCUUUGCACCUGCAGACCCUCAUUCAUCCUGCAAGCCCCUCCUUUCUGAGAGACCACCACACGAGACACACAGAGGGCAGAUGACAGUGUGGACCAGCACAGGAGCAUGGACUUCUAACCUUAGGGUUCAGGAGCAAGGGGGCCACGGGAUCCUGGCUGACCUGGAGUGUCUGUGCCUGCGUGUGGGAAGGAAGGUUAUAGUUACAACUUCCCACUUUCAAGAAACAGAAUUUCAGAAGCCUUGCCCCCAGCCUGUGCUUGGAGGUCACCUUGAUGGCAAAAGUAGUCAAUGCCCCACAAAUGUGCUUUAAGUCCAGCACCUGGAAAAGCAGAGGCAGGUGGGUUUUUGUUAAAUUCAAGGCCAGUCUGGUCUCCAUAGUAAACCUUUGUCUCAAAAUGGGAGAAAGAAAGAAAGAGAUAGAACGAACACACACACACACACACACACUGCCCCAUCCUUUUUCUGGGUGUCAUGUAGCCCAGUCUGGCCUUAAAUUCCCUAUGUGCUGAGUGUGAUCUUGAACUCCUGAACCUCCUGCUUCCAUCCCGAGUGCUGGAACUACGGGCAUGUGCACAACCAUAGCUGGGAAACAAACCCGAGGCUUCACACAAGAGAAGCAAGCACUGCACUGAACCCUUCUGCUCCUUUGCUUCCUCUUUUACUCCCUUCUUCUCACACUCUCUGCCUCCCCUCCCUCCCCCUUUCUCUCUCCCUCCCUCCUUCCUAACUUUUUUUCAUUCUUGUACUAGAGAUAGAGCCUAGGGUCUCACACACGCUAAGCCUGCGCGGUUCCCACCUUGCCCGGUCGGGGUCACCUUGCCAUAAGGUGAGCACCAAGUCCUAACGUUGACACCCUUGGUAGAAAUAAAUUUCUGAGCAAUAAA